CCUUUAGCUCAGUUGGUAGAGCAACUGACUCUUAAUCAGUGGGUCCCGGGUUCGAGUCCCCGAA
rnacentral:tRNA from 1 species